AGUGAACGCUGGCGGUAGGCCUAACACAUGCAAGUCGAACGGCAGCACAGUAAGAGCUUGCUCUUACGGGUGGCGAGUGGCGGACGGGUGAGGAAUACAUCGGAAUCCACUUUUUCGUGGGUGAUAACGUCGGGAAACUUACGCUAAUACCGCAUACGACCUACGGGUGAAAGCAGGAGAUCUUCGGACCUUGCGCGAUUGAAUGAGCCGAUGUCGGAUUAGCUAGUUGGCGGGGUAAAGGCCCACCAAGGCGUCGAUCCGUAGCUGGUCAGAGAGGUAGAACAUCCACACUGGAAUUGAGACACGGUCCAGACUCGUACAGGAGGCCGCAGUGGGGAAUAUAGGGCAAUGGGCGCAAGCGUGGUCCAGUAAUACCGCGUGGGUGAAGAAGGCUGUCGGGUUGUAGAGCCCGUUUGUUGGGGAAGAAAAGCAGCAGCUUAAAACGACGGGGUUCUGACGGUACCGAAAGAAUAAGCACCGGCUAACUACGUG
rnacentral:rRNA from 1 species